rnacentral:rRNA from 1 species
GAGGACCGAACCGACUAAUGUUGAAAAAUUAGCGGAUGACUUGUGGCUGGGGGUGAAAGGCCAAUCAAACCGGGAGAUAGCUGGUUCUCCCCGAAAGCUAUUUAGGUAGCGCCUCGUGAAUUCAUCUCCGGGGGUAGAGCACUGUUUCGGCAAGGGGGUCAUCCCGACUUACCAACCCGAUGCAAACUGCGAAUACCGGAGAAUGUUAUCACGGGAGACACACGGCGGGUGCUAACGUCCGUCGUGAAGAGGGAA